CCAGUUGAAUUUAAGCACAUUAGUUAGUGAAGAAAUUUAACAAGGAUUCCAUCAGUAAUGGGAAAUGAACAUAGAAAAGCCCAAUGUUGAAUCCCUGCCCCAGAGUGGCAUGUUAGAAAUGUGGUAUAUAGAAGAACCAUUCCCCAGUGUUGCUCGCAGGGGACCUAAGUCCUUCUGAAUGAGGCCCAGUCCAUGGACAGCGUGAGUACAGUAGCAGCUCCUGGAGCACUAGGCUUGGGUAUUACUGAACUCAUUACUGGCCUAAGAAUGUAGUCCAAAGUUCGUGGUAAACUCCAUUGAAGGCUAAAACCUAGCACAGAAAUCAAUAUUCCCCAAGUACCACAAGGGAAAAUUGGAGAUAAUUUUGCAGAGUUCAAGAGCAUGUGAAAUUGUUAAGAGGCGUGUGACCUCAGAUCGGAUAUGGUAACCCUACAACCCUGACCAUGGGUAGUGGCCCUGCUCUCUCAGCCCUGGAAACAAGGAGAUGGCCCUACCCUCUGAAGCCAAGGAGAUGGUGCCCUCCAUCUCCACAGCCUGUGCAUUCAGGGUCUGUCAUGGCAGUUGGAGUCCUGAUGGCUUUUGAACCAUUCGUGAAUUUAUUACUCCCUUUUUGCAAAUGAUAACACAUGUUGACAUUCAAAUAGCUUUACCACCCCAUUUCCUGCCUGAAGAAUCACAGAAGUCUAACAGCUUUCCUUGAUUUUCUCCCAUCUUUGUCCCCUUUAGCUCAAGCAGCAGAAUUUCUUUUAUUUAUUUGUUCAUUUAUGUAUUUAUUAGUGAAUGUUGGUAAUACAGAAUGGUGAGGUUGGUUUUGGUAAACUG
rnacentral:ncRNA from 1 species